rfam:Myotis lucifugus cont2.13046, whole genome shotgun sequence.
GAGACACCCCUAUGGAGCAGGACUUGCUUCAGUGGGGCUUUGGUGCUCACUGAGUCUGCCUCUAAAGUGUGUCACU